GGGAAUCCUGUAGGUUGAUCAGGAGCUUGGCUGUAAAACUAGUGGCCUGUCCUCACAUACUAGGAUUUACCAUUAAGCAUAUCAAAACAGUGGAUCCAAUUUAUGAAUCUAUUUUCUUUGUUAUUUUAUGUCAGUCUUUGACUGUAAAAAGAACACAAAAUAGGCUAAGCAUUCGCUUCGGAUAAAAGAAACCCAGAAUCCUCUUUAGAUGAAUGAUCAAAAGUAUUUUGAAU
rnacentral:misc_RNA from 1 species